UUUCAUAUCGGCUGCUGUCUCGUGCGGUUUUCACGAGUCUGGCAUUAUAUUCGUGAGCGACGAUACACGUUGAGUUUCACCGGUUUUUACCGCGAGGUCAACGCGAUAGGAUCGCGAAACAGCACGACGGGGCAGGUAUAAGCGAAUUCGCGGCAGCUUGUUAGGUGAACAACAACGCCGUUUUGUUUUCUCGAAGGAGUAUGGGACUGUAGCCUUGUGGAACUCGAAUGCGUCUACCAGGCUCUUCUUUAUGUCGAAAGUUGUCAGUUGUCACUGCCGAUUGGACUAUUCAAAUGGUAAAGAAGGGCGUUGGACGAGUGUCGAGCAUCCAUACAAGACCGCCUCCUGUCAUUAGGAUACACUACACCAUGCAUGAGAAUAAAUGCAAAGAAACAUUGUAAGACUUACCUGGUACAAUAUACAGGGUGAAACUAUGGUGGUCCAUGCUGUGUACUUUUGGAGGAUAGACUCUGCAGGGAAGAAUCUUUAUUAAGGGGCUGGUCUAGGGACGUCUUUUCUUUAUGGAUAAGAUAAGAUGAAAUAUUUCAGUCUUGGAUAAAAAAGGUAUCGUCACCGCAAUGCAAACUAGGGACUUGACUGCUCUAUUCGAUAGGCAACCCUUAUUCUCUGUUCACCCUUGCUCGGCAUAUUGUCCCUGUUCACGUAUAGCGUAGUAGAAGGAAUAUUUCACACGCGUUCGGCACGCAUCGAGACUAACCAGGGUCACCCCCUUAUAAAAUUUAAACUCUAAAGGGUUGUCGUGGCUUCGGUUACUUAUUUAUUAACCCAUCAAUUUGUUAGCGUCAUUGUGAUGCUGUGCAAUGGCACAGUACGCUCUGUAAUGGGAUCGGAUAAGCCGGAUGUGGGAGUUUAUCUAAAUCGUAGGUCCUUUAUGCUCCAAAUCGAAUCUACGAUAAGACUCUGUACACGAUCAGGGAAGUGGUUACCCUUCGUGAACGGAGCGUAUAGAUACCACGAUACACUCGUUACCGGAUGGGAUCAUUCGAGACACAAGAUAAAAAAUGUGGUCUGAAAAUAAUUGUCAAUUCCACGGAAUAUUUCCCUAGGCUGACCCCGAUGAACGCACCGGGUCUUGCGGUGUUCCAGUAGAAGAGGAUACAAUAAGAGUCGAACGGCUCGACACCUCGUAAGCCCAUUUAUCCAGGAGCAACCCCCCGCCUCUUAAUAUACUGGCAGCAAACUGUCUGUUAACCAGGUUGCCGUUAAGCGGACUGUGAGUAAAAUGGAAACAAACAACGAUCAUUUCGCACAAUGAGAUUCGACGUCGAAGCUACAGACUGUGGUCGAGAUUCGGUUCUGUCGCAUUGUGCCGACCUCGAUACUUUUAUUCUGCCUACUCGAGGACCCUCUUCCUAUUGGCCGAGUAUGAUCGUGAAUAAAUUUGUUGAGCGCGUGUGCGCACGCAUUAAAUGAGAUUCGAUGGCUUUUAUGAAAGUUCAUGCCUGAGGAGAUGUUGAGUAUAUAUUUUUUUUGCUUUUACAAAUACACAAGUUGUCUAUAAAUACACUAGAUUUUGGAAAUAAGAAAGAAUAGGGGAUGAAAUAAUGUUCCUUAUUGUCAGUGGUAUAAGCAGGCGUGGUUAAAAUUGUCGCAGAUUACUGUAGCGACAUAUGUCAUGAGAAUCCCACGGCCAAAGGAUACCGAUGACGUGUGUUUGAUUCAUAACAGAAGAUCAAGUGGGAUUUGUAGAAUUUGUCAGGGAUUAUUGUAUUAGUAAAAUGCGUUCACGAUUCCCAGGGUACAAGUUUGCCACUGUAUUGUUCCUUGCAGAAGAUUCGAUCAUUUAAUAGAUGAUCAAUCAUGGUUAUGUAUAAUCGUUAAGAGUGUAUGUAAUUACCAGGUGCUUUCGGUUGAUACACGUUUUAAGUAUUGGGUUAUGUAAUAAAGGGUGGUAGGGUACCUUAAUAAGAUACUACCGAUAAGAAGGAGCAUUUAUCCAUUAAAUGUUUUAUAUAUAUUUUUCAAGUUUUUCCUGGUGCACCAGGAAUUACCGUACAGUGGCUAACAUAGGUAUUCAAACGAUUAGAGAGUAUCCUGAGUUAAUCCGAAUGCCUAAGGCUAAUUGGAUCGAUAAAUAAAUUUUAACGGCUAACAAAUUAGAUUCCAGUAGUCAUUGCUCAGUGGACAGCUGAGGGCAGGUGAUCAACGCGCUGCUUGAAUACUAAUAAAGCAGCGAGGUGACCAACCGGCCGAACGGACGAUCUCACGACGCCAGUUUUAAUGGAUUACUUGACCGUCGGUUAGCCUGCUUGUGCUCUACAGGAAACAGAUGCUCGCACGCACGCGCGCGACUUGCCGUAGCUAUCUAUAAGCGUAAGAUCAUUAUUAAGAGAUUAAAGGGAAGCCAAUUUAAUUUUUAGAUGAACCAGCAAUCAGACUUCAACAACCACCAGCGGAUAUCCGCACGACGAAGAAAGAAGCCAUGGAUUUCAGAUGACCGUUUAUGAAAGUCGGACGGAUUUUAUCAAGAUUGCAGAACGCGCGUUAUUAUUUGCGAAUUUACAUUCUCUUGCCCUACGUCGACUUUCGUUAGGUUCACACGUUUACACCCCAGAACGUGCCACUUGUACGAAGCUCGAGCGGCAGCAGCGACGGCGGCGGCUUUGAAGGGCGGUUAAGUUAGGGGUUGGUGGGAUGCUGGUUAUUUAAUCUUUAAUCCUGAUACUCGAGGGUGACUCUGUCACCGAUACUCUAGUUAUGUGCGCCGUAACACUGGCACCCUCCCUCGAGCGAUUUUUGGGGUUGCCCGACGUACGUCCGAUAGGGGAGAGUUGGGAUUGAUCUGCACAAAUCUCAAUGCUUAUGAUUGACAUUUUUUUUUUAUGAAAGAAAAGUUCUUACGUGCUUCGAACUCUUGGUCCGUGGGGUGGGUUUUCUCCUUUUUUCAAUUUUUUUUUCUUACUCCCUCCCCUAGUCACGGUAAUAAACGAACCUUUAUAAUCUGUUGAAUUAAUAGACAGUUACACUUGGUCCGAAGGAGAAGUGUGAUGGCCGCGGGCAAAAAUGUACCUAAAUAACAGCUCAGGUGGCUCCGCUAGGAUGUUAUUACUACGUGAGUUGCGAUUCACGAAUGACACGGCAGUAAGAUUUAUGAGUGUGCUUCCUCUGUGAUUAGCUUUCUUUAUGCGGAACAUUUACAUAUAGUACGUAAGCCACUAUAAUUCCAAAGUUUUUGUCAAGGCUCUCUAGGAGCGAGUGGCGGCCUUACUGUUGGUACUGUACGUACAUCGGCCAUCCGACUCCGCGUCCAGGAAGCGAUAGCACGAGAAUACGAAGGAUAGAGAAAAUAUCUUUAUUUCAGAGAUUCUUCGAGUCGUCCAAGUAUCCUUCCAUUCCAAAACGACAAUCCUAUUGAGAGUUUCGUUUGAAUGGUAAUAUUUAUAAAAGCGGCCCCUCGCUGAUACUUGCACAAUUUUAAGGGGUGUCCACAGGCAGGACUAGAUAUCCUAGAGGCAGACCCGAUUCAAGGGACAGUAAGCAUAUUGUCUCGCUCGAAUGGAAUAUAGGGUAGCCCUUGUCUCGGUGCGCAGGACCCCCCAUGGGAACAUUUCACACCGGUAACCACCGCAACCCCUGGUAACCCUCUGUAGUUUGGUUACACAAAGUCGAUUUAGUUAGGGAUGGUUUAGUCUCUGAUUUAUAACUCUCAAGUUCACCUCGAGAAUGGAUCUACUUAAGCUGAUAUCACUGGUCGACGGUACAUCGGAGCGCAAUAUGAAGAACGAUGCCACCUGGAGACGAGGAGUCCGGUCCGUGCUCUGUAGAGACGAGGAACUUCUAUAUUGGUUAUUGGUAUCUCCAAGCAGGGUAACACCUAUACGAUUAGCCCAGGGCGGAGCACGGAGCGUGGCCGUCGGAGGAAGGGAACUGACCGUUCGUAUCUCUGGGUCUACGUACCACUGCGUCCUACCGCCCUGGAGAUGAAGAUACCAAAGAGGGCGGACUUCCUCACCUAUAAAUCGCCGUCCUAGCGAGGAUCGAGGUGCUAGCUGAAGCACCCUCUGCGGCAUAUUGUUUGACGUCACUGGGAUUGGCAUUGGCUCCGAGCUACACACCCUGUAUAUUUUUCUGGAGCUCGCGGUACUCCUUUACUCUGGACAUAAAUAAUCCAUGGACUUGCUGCUGCAGCGUACGUUGAGGUUACGGCCAGAGAAUAUCAUCCCGUUUAUCGUCUGGACUUUGUUUGGAUAAAUGAUUAUGAUAAUGGAUAACUCGAAUGGCGAAUUCUUUGGAUGCAAAGAGACGUGGGUAUGAAUAAGGGGCUAAGUCGGAUCAGACGGAAUCAUGACGAUUCUGAGGAACGCCCGGGAUUCAUGCUAGAUUUGAUUUAACGCUCUCUUAAAUGAUCCCACAGAGAUCGGCACGUGCCAGUCGCACCCCCCUUGAUCUGGAGCUGUUUGGCCAGGGCGAGGAACCCUACGCAACCUGGAUACAGGGCUGCAUACGCGACCUGGCGCUAAGUCACCAACGUCAACAGGGAAUCACUUGGGGUGGAUUCACGUCGAGUAUUUGCUUAGGGACAUCCGUUUGUUUUUCUAGGAUCAGUACCAAUUUGCCACUUCACUUUUGAUCCUCAGAAUGUUUUUACAGGUAUGCCUAGCUGUGAUACCUGUUGGUUCUAUCCAGAUGGAUAUGUAUUCAAAUAAACCGCGGGAGGGUCGAACGUCAAGAGGCCCAAUAUUUAUUACUUUAGUGUUUACAGGACUCUGGCCACGCGCCGAGACGUUUGGGUCAGGGAAAACAUUUCAGAAGAAUAAAAAAGAUCUAGAAUUCUCUAGAUUUUCUAACAAACUUCAACGCACUCGUGGUUCAAUAGCUACUGCAAACUUUCCCACAAACGUGACUUCCAUCCUGGUUCUUCAUAAUUCUGUGACUUAACAGUUAGCACAUGGUAUCCCAUAGGACCCAGGACGGGUUCCCAUAUCAUAGAUGCAAAGCUUGAUGUAUCGAUGCUUUAUGAUUAUGCUGGCCCCAUACACAGACCGCCCACCCCCGUGAGCCCACUGUGCAAUGGCAUCAUAACCUUAUGGAACAGCAAACUCACCCUAAUGGUCGGAUUAGUUUUUGAUAGGUGCACGAGGCAGGGAUGCAGUUUGUUCCUACCUAAAAUUCAUAUUCAUAGGACGUUUCUGUGAUCGAUGUCGGAGAACCCGGUUAGCUCUACGUUUUUACCAGCCUUAGACACGGUAAUGUGAAAGUCAAAAAGACGUCACAUGACGUAUGACAUUUUCAAGAGAUUUUCAAUUGGUCCAAAGAAUUUCCAUGCGAUCUGGAGCAACAGGCCCAAACGUUGACCUCAGCAUCAGAGCCAGUAGAGCCAAUAUCUCAAUAUCGUUAUCUCCUGUCUAAACGACAGAAUAGACAAGCCACUGCUAUAUGGGUUCGGCGCUCACUCAUAAUCUUACGUAGGAUCUUGCUCGGUGUAGUCAGUGUAGGUACUAGCAAAGCAGGGUUGGAUACCCUUCCAUUCGGGUUCCUUCCCUGGCUCUUGGUUCAAGAGAGCCAGGUCCCUGACGAGAGACCCGAAAUGGAAUCAUCGAUCGAUAGGCGAUCUGGUUGCAACAAACCUUUCAAUCAUGCGACACCCAUCGACUGCGCGGCUCCCAUUAUUUCAAACAAAUGGAACCAGUCCGGCUCUUUUAAACAGAUAGACUCCGUACGAAUAGAUGUUUAAAGCUCCGAUCUUAUCAGUGAUGCAUGAGAAGUGACUGCUUACCUGUAUUAUCUGCGCGAGUUCUCGCUAUGCUUUUUCGUAGAACCGAAGAAAGACAAGUGGAUGAGGAUGAAGGAGCCCAGAGCAACAUCACCAGAGGACACGUCCACUGCGAUCAUCCAAAUAACAUUGAUUAGGGGUACCACUGCGACGAUGAUGACGAUGGCUAAUUUUUUUCACGUUGACGUCCAUGACUACUUCAUAAUUCCAACCAAUCCCAGAGCUCCAAAUCGUUUGUUUACUUAUUGGACAAUUUGAAUAACCCUGACGUGCAGACAGCAGCUGAGUAUAGUGCGCAGGAACUUCGAGGCCUAUUGGCGGCUACCGGCGUCCCUGGCUACAUAUACGUGCGCUCUUAACUAGCUCCUCGGAAGCGGGGCAUGCGACCAUUUAUCACCCGGAGACAGAACCACUCUACCUACUACCAACUUCUCCGUUGCUUCAUAAGCUGUAACAAUGUGGGAACACCGCGAACUCGAUUAUCUGCUCUCCUCUACGCGCUGCACUACGGAACUCGUAGGAGUAACACGGUAGCGUGUUACGUACUUGCAUAGAAGUGCCUGGAACAUUGUGCGUAUAGGAACUAGAAAGUAGUUGUAUAGGUUAGGUUAGCAGCGAUAGAGACCUUGGUUCCUCUUUAAAAAAAAAAAAAAAAAAAAAAA